rnacentral:rRNA from 1 species
GCAGCCGCCGCGGGAAUACGUAGGGUGCAAGCGUUAAUCGGAAUUACUGGGCGUAAAGCGUGCGCAGGCGGUUAUAUAAGACAGAUGUGAAAUCCCCUGGCUCAACCUGGGAACUGCAUUUGUGACUGUAUAGCUAGAGUACGGCAGAGGGGGAUGGAAUUCCGCGUGUAGCAGUGAAAUGCGUAGAUAUGCGGAGGAACACCGAUGGCGAAGGCAAUCCCCUGGGCCUGUACUGACGCUCAUGCACGAAAGCGUGGGGAGCAAACAGGAUUAGAUACCCCUGUAGUCCCUGUCUCUUAUAC